rnacentral:rRNA from 1 species
GACGAACGCUGGCGGCGUGCUUAACACAUGCAAGUCGAACGGAAAGGCCCUGCUCUUGUGGGGUGGUCGAGUGGCGAACGGGUGAGGAACACGCGAGUAAACCGCCCCUGACUUUGGGGUAAAUUUAGGGAACUGGGGCGAAAACCCGAGAGGAGCUCCUGCUGCAUGGUGGGGGUUGGAAAGAUUCGGCGGUUGGGGCUGGACUCGCGGCUUAUCCGCUUGUUGGUGGGGUAGUGGCUUACCAAGGCUUUGACGGGUAGCCGGCCUGAGAGGGUGACCGGCCACAUUGGGACUGAGAUACGGCCCAGACUCCUACGGGAGGCAGCAGUGGGGAAUAUUGCACAAUGGGCGGAAGCCUGAUGCAGCAACGCCGCGUGCGGGAUGACGGCCUUCGGGUUGUAAACCGCUUUCGCCUGUGACGAAGCGUGAGUGACGGUAAUGGGUAAAGAAGCACCGGCUAACUACGUG